CUAAGUUUGAUGGCGACCGGCGCACGGGUGAGUAGCACGUAUCCAACCUGCCGAUGACUCGGGGGAUAGCCUUUCGAAAGAAAGAUUAAUACCCGAUGGCAUAGUUCUUCCGCAUGGUAGAACUAUUAAAGAAUUUCGGUCAUCGAUGGGGAUGCGUUCCAUUAGGUUGUUGGCGGGGUAACGGCCCACCAAGCCUUCGAUGGAUAGGGGUUCUGAGAGGAAGGUCCCCCACAUUGGAACUGAGACACGGUCCAAACUCCUACGGGAGGCAGCAUG
rnacentral:rRNA from 1 species